ACUCGCCCGCAUACCGCUCCUCCAAAGGAGUAAAUGGAGGUACAAGUCUAGGCUGAAAGACUUUAAACAUUAAGCGCUGCAUGGGAGGCAACCCAUUUCAACCGUAGCUGUGGAGGAGCCAUCAACGCAGAUUUGCUCUCUUAAACUCUAUCUCCUCUAUUACUAUUUUCUGAUUGUAUCUUUGUUAUUUGCGUUUUUAGUUUUUAUUUUUAGGUUUUCUUGAGUUAAUCAUUCCAUUCACAUGAUAAUUGUUCAUUGCAUGCUCUAACUUGUUUAACAUUGAGGACAAUGUAUGAUUUAAGUGUGGGGGGAAGGAUUAAUGCUUGUAGUUAGUUUUUGUCAUAAAAAGAAAACAAAACAAAAAAAUCGAAAAAUGUCAGAAAUAUAAAAAAUUUUCGUUGCUUUUGUUUUUGUUUUGAGUCUUAGGAUGCCUUUCAACUGUCUGGGAUGAUUCUAUAUCUCUGAAAUCAUGACUAAAAGAGGAUCACAACAUUGAGAUGAUUUUAAACAUGGUAUUCUUUGGUUAAUUGAGAUAUAUGAAAAAUGUGUGCCUUGUAGUGGAUAUGGAUUGCAUGACCUUGGUACAGAAUAUGAGCAUGUUAAGAUGAGUUGUGAUUCAUAAAGCCAUGUGAGAUAAUUGAACCAUGUCCCUUUUUCUUGGAGUGAAAUGAAAAAUAUAUUCUUAAUUUCUUGGCGAUGUUUUGAUGAUCUCAUUAUUCUUUCAUCUUGAUUGACUGCUUGCCAUAGAUUAAGUUUAAUGGACUAGAGAAUGCUAGAAUUCGCUCUUGUGCUUGUUGAGACGUGAUAUCAAUACAUGGCCCUGAUUCUGGAAGGGAUAGAGGUUCUCUAGGAAUUACCACCAUUGCCAAAUAAACUUGUGUCCCCAUUUGUGCCCGUCGUGGGACCCCCCUAGAUAAGCCCCUUUGAGCCUACAUUAAGCCUUUUCGUUCAUCACCCUUAAAAUCCUUAACCAUGAAGCUUAGUAUAGUUACAACCCUACCCUUUGUUCUAAGGACUUAGUGGAGCUAUCUUUUGAGACAUACUACAUGGGUUUGGUGCUAAGGAUGAAGAUUGAGAAGAUGUGAAAGUUCAAGUGUGGGGAUAGACUUGUCCAUAAAGAAAAAGAUAUGUUGAAGCCGUGAAAAAUGAAAAGAAAAGAGAAAAAUUGUGUACGGCUAAAAAGAAAAAAAGAAAAAAAAAAAUAUAUGUUUAUGGACUUUCAUCCCCCAUACUUAGUGAUUUUGGAGUUUGCUUUGAAUUGAAGGCCCACUACAGAAAAAUUUGGCCUUUGUCCAUUUCACUAGAGUUCAAGGGAAGUUUAUAUUGAAGAUUGGGCCCAACAUGAAGACAUUUGGCCCUCUUAUAUUACCUCUAUGGAGAAGUGACGUUUUUGCAAUGCCUUGGUGAAAUAUUUCGAGAUCUCUACAUUCAUAUGAGCUCUACUAGGUUUUUAGGACACUUUGAUAAUCCUUACCUUUCAUUUCUUUAAACCUUGAGCCUUAGCCCCAUUACAACCUUUGAGAGGACCUUCUUGAUCCUUAAGAUGGGACAGCCUUUGAUGUGGAGAUGAGUUACAAGAGUUGAACCUAUGGCUUGGGUCCAUUCGUGCAAGUAGUUGAUAUCCUUCAUGAGAUCUUUUGAAAAAAUUUAUAUUCACAAAGUGCUUUUCGUUUCUUAUAUAUGUGAGCUAUUUGACUGCCUUAAAAUAUGUUCUCUCACAUAUAAAUGAGUGAUUAUAAGCUUUUAAGCAUUGCCUUGAUCUGAGAGAAGAAAGAGUGGAUAUACCUUGUGAGGAUAUGAAUCAUACUUGUCUGAAGCAUGCUAAGCUAAACCCCAAUCACCAUUAUUACAACCAAGUCCUACUUGUGUAUGUGUGGAUCAUAUGUUUUAAUUAACUCUCGAAUGCUUAACAUUGAUUCUUGAUUGAGUGCUAAUCUUGGUGUUGUGAAAGUAUGAGAUUUCUGAGACAAUAUGUUAAAGGGCAAUAGAGGUCUUUGUAAUGUCAACAUCUUGGUCUUUGUCUUUGAAUUUACUCUUUUAUGUGUGACGUUUUUUUUUUUUCUUUGUGUUUUGCUUUGUGUUUUACGUUUUUGGUUUCUUUGAGUCUUUGUGUUUUUGUUUCCAUACUUAGUCAUUUUUUUUCGUUGGUUUCUUUGUUUUGUGUCAUAGUCUUUUUGGUUUGUUAGUUUUUGAUUUUGCUAAGGGACUAGCAAAAGCUAAGUGUGGGGGAAUUUGAUAGGAGCAUUUUAAAGUGGUAUUUUAAUAGUUAAUUCCUCACAUUUUGCUUAGUUAAUUCCUUAACGAAUCGAUUUUUAACUCAAUUUCUAUUUUCUUAGGUACAUUAGAGUAAAUGAUGGUGAAAUGAGCAUUAGGUCCACACUUACCUAUAAAUGGUGGAGAAAAAUGGAAAUGUACUAAAAUGUCAAUUUUACACAUUUUCCUACUCCGGCUAGGAAAAACCAAGCCAAGCAAGGAAGAAGGAGCGGCCGCCGGACCAAAUGAACUUCAAAUGAGCUGAAACUUUCCAGAUCCAUUCUAGACAUCCUAAGGAUCGUUUCUUAUGAAGAGUGCCAGAGCUAGAAUUGAGCGGAAGGCCUUCAAACAGUCAGCCCAAUUUCCUGCAGAAGCAAAACUGGAAAACUGGACCUGUAAGAGGUCCAGCAGCAUUUUCGGCCCAACCACAUGGAAUAAAAAUAUGAAAUUUUACCAGGGUGAUCUACACUCAUAAUGGAACAUUUUUUAUGAAGAGGUCAUAGUGAAAUUGGGAAUGCUUGUUGGAGAAAUAAUUGAAGGAAUAAAGGGGCAGAAACUGAUCUAAAAACAGCUCAACACCACAUGUUCAUGUUUCCUACCCACAUGAAGAAAGCUAGAUGCUUUUCCCUUUUUCCUUGGAUAUAUUUUUCUGCUCCAAUAGAUCAUCAUCACUUCCAUACUUCUACACCUUCAUGCCUUGCUUUCAUUUCAUCAUUACUCCAUCUUUUCCAUAUUUUACAAACCACUUUCAUUAUUUUUCUUCCAUUUAUCAUUUCACUCUUCUUUUUCUUCCCUAUAUAAACACCUUCUCCUCUCACUCUAAAAAAAGAUUCCUUCAUCCAUUUCAUCUUCUUUGUCUCUCCAUUUCCAUUCCAUUUUUCUCUCCAUUCUCUAGUUGCAAAAUUCUGCGUUUUCAAGUAAGAAGAAGAAGAAGAAGAAGGAGCCGGGAAUAUCAUAUCCUCCAUCGUCCACCUUGAAGGCUUGCUUCCAAGAUUCAAGAUUUCAACGUUUCAAGCACUCCAUCUCCAUCUCCAUCUCCAACUCACGGUGUACCGUCUGGCUGCAAGACGUAAAAUACAAGCGCUGCUUGGGAGGCAACCCAAUUCAGAAUAUAAUCAGAUUUGCUUUCUCUUCCCCUUUUACUCCUCCAUUUUCUUUUUGUUUUAGUAGUUAUUUUCGUAAAUUCCAUCCCUAUAUGCUUACUUAUUUCAUUGCAUGCUUUUAAUUGAUUACAUUGAGGAUAAUGCAAUAUUUAAGUGUGGGGGAAGGGAUUUAUAUUUUUGUCUUUCAUUUUGAAUCCUAUAAAUAUUUUUGUCUUUCAUUUUGUGUCCUAUAAAUAUUUUUGAGUCCUAUAUUUUUUUUAAAAAAAUAAUAAUAAUAAUAAUAAAAAAUAAUAAAAAAAAAAUAAAAAAUAAAAUAAAAUAAAAUGCAUUCAUUCAGUCUUAUUAAAUUCAGCUUUUUACAAAAAAAAAAAAAUAAUAAUAAUAAUAAUAAUAAAAAAUUAAAAAAAAUAAUAAAUAAUAAUAAUAAAAAAAUAAAAAAAAUGCAUUCAUUUAGUCUUAUUAAUUUCAGCUAUUUACAAAAAAAAAAAAAAAAAAAAAAAAAAAAAAAAAAAAAAAUAAUAAUAAUAAUAAUAAUAAUAAUACUCUAUACUAAGCCAUGUCUGCAUCUCUGUAGGAGUUGAGGCUGAGCUCAAGGGAAAUGUGAGAGCCACCGCCAUAACCGCUACCUCCCUCGGAAGUAGUCUUCAUGAUGCCCAAGAUGUCCUCACCAUGCAUGGGGAACAAUGGAAGGGUUUCAAUCUCCUGGUGAUCUCCUCCUCGUUGUUGCAGGGAUGUUUGUCCUCCUGUUGUGCCAAAAGAGUUGUACUGGUAUUAGUGUUGAAGUGUGAGGAAGAAUAUGAAACAAAAUUUAAAUCAAGAAAUCCUUCAUUACCAGUAGAAUCGGUGGAACCAAAGUUGAGAUUAAUGGAUCUACCAUCAUCAGUAGAACUAGUGGACCCAAAAUUGAUGUCAAUGGAUCCACCAGCUGGCCCAAAAUUGAUGUCGAUGGAUCCACCAGCACCAGUAGAACCAGUGGACCCAAAAUUGAGAUCAAUGGAUCCACCAGUACCAGGAGAACUAGUUCCCAUGGGCACUUGAGCAGCCUGAUUGCACCUCUUCAUCUGCUUCUCUCGAGCCCUGACAUUCUGGAACCAAAAAUAAAUGUUCUUGCCCUCAACAUGUCCAUACUGGUUCAGCUGGAGACAGAUCUCGUGAAUAUGCUCUGUAGUUGGGCGCGUAACUCCCUUGUCGUAGUAAAGAUCCUUGAGGAUCCUUAUUUGAUCUGGAGUAGGAACCCACCUGGCACGGCUUCGCCAGAAAUCUGUGUUGGCACUACUCCCGGCUGCUUGGUUGUUUCCUCCAUCCUCGAUUUGUUGCUGGGUUUGUAGCUCCAUCAGUUGCAGAGUUCGUGGUUCCAUGGUGAUGGGUUGAGGGGAUGUGAAGAUCGAAGAGUAAAGUUGUCGAGUGUUUGAAGGAGUUGUUGUUAAAGGGAUUAAGGAUGAUGAUGGUGUGUUGGAGAUCUGAAAGUUCAGAGGAAAGAUGGGAUUGAAUCAACUAGAUGGGAGAGAAGAUCAGAAGAGAAGGAUUGAAUCGAAGAAGAAAUAUUUUGAGUUUUGAAAGAAGAGGAAAGCUGAAGAGUUGGGAGAGAGGGGCUGGAACUCAGGAGAGAUUUUCGUUCCUUUGGAGUGAACAGUUGCGCCCUCAGAAUGCACCUAUUUAUAGAGCGAGGUGAGCAGAUCUCCACCGUUGGAUGGACGAUUCCUGUGAUUCAUUCUACGCGUUGGAUUAAAGUCGCCCUGAAACCCGGAAAAGUUGUUGGCGCGUGGAGAGCGUGUAAGGGGACCGAGGGAAUCUCGAGGCGCUGUGGCAGACAGCUGUAGCCGAAAGCAGAUUUGACUGCCGUAAAUCACGGAAGGGAUAAGCCGUGACACAAGUGGGCCGUACUUGGGCCUGUCUCGGAUCAAGGCAUCACUGUAGCUGUGGGUGGAGGCCUGAUGGGCCGAGUUUCAGAAACAGUUUUGGACAUGAUGGGCCGAGUUUCUGAAACAGUUUUGGAUGAGUUGGGCUGGGUUUCUGCAACAGUCUUGGAUGUUUUGUGCCGAAUUGUUGAAACAGUUGAAACAGUUGGUUUAAAUAAAAGGAUUGGUAUGGAUAAUAACGUGAGCAGCUGUGCUCGAGUGGUUGAGUGUAAAGUUCGUGUACAAGAGGUCUGAGGUUCGAACCUCGCCUCUCGUUUAUUUUUAUUAUGUUCGUUUAUGACAUAAUAAGUAUAAAAUUUGUACACAUUAUAUUAAGCACAGCUUGUGCUCCAGUGGUUGGGGACAAAGGUUUCGUGCAGCAGGUUAAGGUUUCGAACCUUGCCUCCCCCGUUUUUUUUUAUUUAUGUCACUCCAUCAGAACCCUCCUCCGAAGGCUGAAACCAGCAAGAAGGCUGCCACUCGCCCGCAUACCGCUCCUCCAAAGGAGUAAAUGGAGGUACAAGUCUAGGCUGAAAGACUUUAAACAUUAAGCGCUGCAUGGGAGGCAACCCAUUUCAACCGUAGCUGUGGAGGAGCCAUCAACGCAGAUUUGCUCUCUUAAACUCUAUCUCCUCUAUUACUAUUUUCUGAUUGUAUCUUUGUUAUUUGCGUUUUUAGUUUUUGUUUUUAGGUUUUCUUGAGUUAAUCAUUCCAUUCACAUGAUAAUUGUUCAUUGCAUGCUCUAACUUGUUUAACAUUGAGGACAAUGUAUGAUUUAAGUGUGGGGGGAAGGAUUAAUGCUUGUAGUUAGUUUUUGUCAUAAAAAGAAAACAAAACAAAAAAAUCGAAAAAUGUCAGAAAUAUAAAAAAUUUUCGUUGCUUUUGUUUUUGUUUUGAGUCUUAGGAUGCCUUUCAACUGUCUGGGAUGAUUCUAUAUCUCUGAAAUCAUGACUAAAAGAGGAUCACAACAUUGAGAUGAUUUUAAACAUGGUAUUCUUUGGUUAAUUGAGAUAUAUGAAAAAUGUGUGCCUUGUAGUGGAUAUGGAUUGCAUGACCUUGGUACAGAAUAUGAGCAUGUUAAGAUGAGUUGUGAUUCAUAAAGCCAUGUGAGAUAAUUGAACCAUGUCCCUUUUUCUUGGAGUGAAAUGAAAAAUAUAUUCUUAAUUUCUUGGCGAUGUUUUGAUGAUCUCAUUAUUCUUUCAUCUUGAUUGACUGCUUGCCAUAGAUUAAGUUUAAUGGACUAGAGAAUGCUAGAAUUCGCUCUUGUGCUUGUUGAGACGUGAUAUCAAUACAUGGCCCUGAUUCUGGAAGGGAUAGAGGUUCUCUAGGAAUUACCACCAUUGCCAAAUAAACUUGUGUCCCCAUUUGUGCCCGUCGUGGGACCCCCCUAGAUAAGCCCCUUUGAGCCUACAUUAAGCCUUUUCGUUCAUCACCCUUAAAAUCCUUAACCAUGAAGCUUAGUAUAGUUACAACCCUACCCUUUGUUCUAAGGACUUAGUGGAGCUAUCUUUUGAGACAUACUACAUGGGUUUGGUGCUAAGGAUGAAGAUUGAGAAGAUGUGAAAGUUCAAGUGUGGGGAUAGACUUGUCCAUAAAGAAAAAGAUAUGUUGAAGCCGUGAAAAAUGAAAAGAAAAGAGAAAAAUUGUGUACGGCUAAAAAGAAAAAAAGAAAAAAAAAAAUAUAUGUUUAUGGACUUUCAUCCCCCAUACUUAGUGAUUUUGGAGUUUGCUUUGAAUUGAAGGCCCACUACAGAAAAAUUUGGCCUUUGUCCAUUUCACUAGAGUUCAAGGGAAGUUUAUAUUGAAGAUUGGGCCCAACAUGAAGACAUUUGGCCCUCUUAUAUUACCUCUAUGGAGAAGUGACGUUUUUGCAAUGCCUUGGUGAAAUAUUUCGAGAUCUCUACAUUCAUAUGAGCUCUACUAGGUUUUUAGGACACUUUGAUAAUCCUUACCUUUCAUUUCUUUAAACCUUGAGCCUUAGCCCCAUUACAACCUUUGAGAGGACCUUCUUGAUCCUUAAGAUGGGACAGCCUUUGAUGUGGAGAUGAGUUACAAGAGUUGAACCUAUGGCUUGGGUCCAUUCGUGCAAGUAGUUGAUAUCCUUCAUGAGAUCUUUUGAAAAAAUUUAUAUUCACAAAGUGCUUUUCGUUUCUUAUAUAUGUGAGCUAUUUGACUGCCUUAAAAUAUGUUCUCUCACAUAUAAAUGAGUGAUUAUAAGCUUUUAAGCAUUGCCUUGAUCUGAGAGAAGAAAGAGUGGAUAUACCUUGUGAGGAUAUGAAUCAUACUUGUCUGAAGCAUGCUAAGCUAAACCCCAAUCACCAUUAUUACAACCAAGUCCUACUUGUGUAUGUGUGGAUCAUAUGUUUUAAUUAACUCUCGAAUGCUUAACAUUGAUUCUUGAUUGAGUGCUAAUCUUGGUGUUGUGAAAGUAUGAGAUUUCUGAGACAAUAUGUUAAAGGGCAAUAGAGGUCUUUGUAAUGUCAACAUCUUGGUCUUUGUCUUUGAAUUUACUCUUUUAUGUGUGACGUUUUUUUUUUUUCUUUGUGUUUUGCUUUGUGUUUUACGUUUUUGGUUUCUUUGAGUCUUUGUGUUUUUGUUUCCAUACUUAGUCAUUUUUUUUCGUUGGUUUCUUUGUUUUGUGUCAUAGUCUUUUUGGUUUGUUAGUUUUUGAUUUUGCUAAGGGACUAGCAAAAGCUAAGUGUGGGGGAAUUUGAUAGGAGCAUUUUAAAGUGGUAUUUUAAUAGUUAAUUCCUCACAUUUUGCUUAGUUAAUUCCUUAACGAAUCGAUUUUUAACUCAAUUUCUAUUUUCUUAGGUACAUUAGAGUAAAUGAUGGUGAAAUGAGCAUUAGGUCCACACUUACCUAUAAAUGGUGGAGAAAAAUGGAAAUGUACUAAAAUGUCAAUUUUACACAUUUUCCUACUCCGGCUAGGAAAAACCAAGCCAAGCAAGGAAGAAGGAGCGGCCGCCGGACCAAAUGAACUUCAAAUGAGCUGAAACUUUCCAGAUCCAUUCUAGACAUCCUAAGGAUCGUUUCUUAUGAAGAGUGCCAGAGCUAGAAUUGAGCGGAAGGCCUUCAAACAGUCAGCCCAAUUUCCUGCAGAAGCAAAACUGGAAAACUGGACCUGUAAGAGGUCCAGCAGCAUUUUCGGCCCAACCACAUGGAAUAAAAAUAUGAAAUUUUACCAGGGUGAUCUACACUCAUAAUGGAACAUUUUUUAUGAAGAGGUCAUAGUGAAAUUGGGAAUGCUUGUUGGAGAAAUAAUUGAAGGAAUAAAGGGGCAGAAACUGAUCUAAAAACAGCUCAACACCACAUGUUCAUGUUUCCUACCCACAUGAAGAAAGCUAGAUGCUUUUCCCUUUUUCCUUGGAUAUAUUUUUCUGCUCCAAUAGAUCAUCAUCACUUCCAUACUUCUACACCUUCAUGCCUUGCUUUCAUUUCAUCAUUACUCCAUCUUUUCCAUAUUUUACAAACCACUUUCAUUAUUUUUCUUCCAUUUAUCAUUUCACUCUUCUUUUUCUUCCCUAUAUAAACACCUUCUCCUCUCACUCUAAAAAAAGAUUCCUUCAUCCAUUUCAUCUUCUUUGUCUCUCCAUUUCCAUUCCAUUUUUCUCUCCAUUCUCUAGUUGCAAAAUUCUGCGUUUUCAAGUAAGAAGAAGAAGAAGAAGAAGGAGCCGGGAAUAUCAUAUCCUCCAUCGUCCACCUUGAAGGCUUGCUUCCAAGAUUCAAGAUUUCAACGUUUCAAGCACUCCAUCUCCAUCUCCAUCUCCAACUCACGGUGUGUACCCUCAAUCCCCGGAAUAGAACGAUCCCUAUUUGCUUAUACUACUAACGAUGUUUUCAGGGUUAAAUUAUGCGCUUGCUUUGAGCGUAUAAAUUUUUGGCGCCGUUGCCGGGGAUUGAAAAAUCACUUGUUUUUGUUUAUAAUUGUUGUAUAUAAACUGUUUGAUACUUAGUUUAAAUUAACUAGGUUGUUUUUUUUUUAUUGUUGAAUACGAGUUUAAUUGUGAGUUGUAAAUUAAAGAAGGAAUAGGUGAAGUCGUGUUUAUUAAUAUUGGUCUAAACCCCUUAUUGGUACCUAGUUCAGGUCCCUUAAGGUUGAGGGCGGCCUUUAUUAACAUUCAUUGAACUGUCUAACACACUUAGGACCUUUUACAUCCUAGUAAGAAUAUCCUAUGUGAGAUGGUGUCUAGGAAGGGGAUAACGUUCAUGACGGGUUUUUGAAUCCAGAAGUGCUUAUAAAUGGGCUUAGCUCAUGCCAAAAUGGAUUUUUCCUCUCGUGUUCACCCUCCCCUACCUGGCCAUUUCAGUAAGGUUGCCCAACGGAUGUAGGAGGGACUUUGUGUCUAGACGACUAUACUUGGGCCGCACGUCCACUUGAUUUACCGCUUGGAAUUAUAUUUGAUAUCAAUAAUGUUUAUAACAAAAGAAAUACUUGUGCAUACUCUUUACGUGUAAAUUAUUUUGUCGUUUCACACUUUAUACUUGUAAAAAUACUUUUUACGUUUUAUACUCACUUGUGUACUUAACUUGUGUCUUAUGUACAAAAUACUUGUUAAUUAUACUUGUAGUUUGUAAUUCAUAGUUACUUGUUUAUUUUUUUUUUUGUAUUUCUUUGUUAAUAUUAAGUUACUAACUUUAUUUA